GCGCGAACCAAAAGGCACUUCCGCGGGUGCUUAAAAAAAUAUUCCGAUGGAUUAUGGUUCCGGGCGCAGAAGGUCCCCCUUGUGGCAAUGCAUAGGCCGAGUGUGCUGCAAUGCUGCUCUCCCUGGGACAUCAGGAAUCUAUUGUCCGACUGCAGAAUGCUCUCCUUGACUGAAGACCUUGCUCUUUCUGUGACGGAGUGGCUUGGCCCUACAAUACAAUUUUUAUAAAAAUUUCAAUAAAAAAAACCAUACCUGUAACUGUCA